GACCCAGCAUGGUGUAGUGGUUUGAAUGUUGGACUAUGACUCUAGAGGCUAGGGUUCAAUUCCUAGCUCGGCCA